UCCUUGAACAGAGCAGGGAAGGAUGC
rnacentral:piRNA from 1 species